rnacentral:lncRNA from 1 species
AACACCUCUACUAGGUACAGGUAUAUAUAUGAGACUCAUAAAUAAUGUGCUCAGAUUAUGAUGCAUUAUUGAUAAGGAUGCAAACGAGUAAGUUUGUAUGUGAUUAAUUCCUUGCUUUUACUUACGUUUUAACGUUUUUAUGAGAUAUGAUUGAAUAUGGAAUAAUUAAUUUAGGUGAAUUACGAAUUAUGGUUGAAUAUGG